CUUAGCUCUGGUGGCUUGAUGUUUUACUCGUGCUAUCUUCUACUUUGUUGGGAUUGAAAAGAAAUGAUAUUUCAUAUCACUGAUACCCCACUGCGUUCAGCUAUGAGAGCAGAAUGAUGGUGUCAGAAGUUGGAUCUGGACUAGAGUUUCUAGAGACUCACAGGAGCCUUAAGACCAAGCAAGGUGUUCGCUGGACCCAUUGUGUCCAUUACUCUCUCCCAGCAACUAAGGAUUAUGGAAAAUUCAACAUGGCAAUCAAAUGCUCACAUUUAUUACCAUGGAGCAAGCAAUAUCCUACAAUUAACAUAUAGCAAGUAAUCUCUUAUAAUUUUAAUUGUAUAUUUAUGUAUAUUUAAUUGUAUAUUUACUCAUUUUGUUGUCUAGAUUUGAUUGUAGUAGUUUUGUAUUCAUUUUCACAAUUUGAGUAAGAAGGGCUAUAACAAGCUUCUGAGUCUUUCAAGAACCAAAUCUGGAUUUGCAUUAAAUCAACCGCUUUUCCCUUUUAUUUAAAAAACACUACUUUUAUGUUUAUCUUUAGUGAUUAUUAGUCUGUUAUUUUCCAAAAAUUUUAGUUGAAUGCUUUA